rnacentral:misc_RNA from 1 species
GAUGAAGAACGUAGCGAAAUGCGAUAAGUAAUGUGAAUUGCAGAAUUCAGUGAAUCAUCGAAUCUUUGAACGCACAUUGCGCCCGCCAGUAUUCUGGCGGGCAUGCCUGUUCGAGCGUCAUUACAACCCUCAGGCCCCCGGGCCUGGCGUUGGGGAUCGGCAGAAGCCCCCUGUGGGCACACGCCGUCCCUCAAAUACAGUGGCGGUCCCGCCGCAGCUUCCAUUGCGUAGUAGCUAACACCUCGCAACUGGAGAGCGGCGCGGCCAUGCCGUAAAACACCCAACUUCUGAAUGUUGACCUCGAAUCAGGUAGGAAUACCCGCUGAACUUAAGCAUAUCAUAAGCGAGGA